rnacentral:rRNA from 1 species
GCAGUGACGGUCCUGCAGAAGAAGCACCGGCUACUACGUGCCAGCAGCCGCGGUAAUACGUAGGGUGCGAGCGUUGUCCGGAAUUAUUGGGCGUAAAGAGCUCGUAGGCGGCUUGUCACGUCGGAUGUGAAAGCUCGGGGCUUAACCCCGAGUCUGCAUUCGAUACGGGCUAGCUAGAGUGUGGUAGGGGAGAUCGGAAUCCCUGGUGUAGCGGUGAAAUGCGCAGAUAUCAGGAGGAACACCGGUGGCGAAGGCGGAUCUCUGGGCCAUUACUGACGCUGAGGAGCGAAAGCGUGGGGAGCGAACAGGAUUAGAUACCCUGGUAGUCCAAGGGCGAA